GGAACAGCAUUCAAGGCACACUGGCACUUCUUUUUCACACCUGCAGAGAAGCUGCUGUGUCUGCAAUCUCAUUUGCUUUUUCCAGUCUCAGGCAUACAGCAUAAUUAAAAAAAAAAAAAAAUUAUUAUAUGUAAAAUUUAAUUUAUGUUUGGAAGUCUGGAACAGGCUUCAAAACUGAACGGAUUCUAUGAACACUGCACCCCUCUCUGGAAUAGCCGCUGUUCUGAAGGAGUAAAGCAACGAUGCAGACUGGUUACUGCCGUCAGCAGAGAAUACCAGAACUGUUAAUGACAAAGAGGAGCAAGAAACUCAUUCUUCAGCUUUUCUUCUUUCCAGCAAGUUCAGUCAGAGCAAAUUCUUUGGCAAAAAAAGAUCCAAGAGUAACAUACAGCAACUGGACUCUGUACAAGAAAUCUAUUAUACUGCCUGCUCUCAAGUUGAGUAUAUUGCUGAUUUCAGAAAUAUCAGAAUGCCUAACUCUGGAUGCCUCAGGAAUAAACAAGAAUAAAUUUGUAUUCUACUAUGCUUGA